rnacentral:precursor_RNA from 1 species
UGGAAAGUAUCCAGCCAUGUAUGUCUCUCCAUUUUUAAUGUUACCUGACUGGAUACUUUCUGGA